AGUUUUUUAAGGCACAUGGUCUACUGUGUUGAUGCUCAGACUCUCACUGAGUCUGAACCUGUGAUCAGAAGGCUUGGAGAAUCUCACAGACUGACCUGUACAGCCGCUGGAUUUGACUUAAGUAGCUAUUGGAUGGCCUGGAUCAGACAGGCUCCUGGAAAAGGACUGGAGUGGAUCGCUCAAAGUAGCAGUGGUGGUAUCAGCAAUUAUUACUCUCAGUCAGUUCAAGGCCGGUUCACCAUCUCCAGAGACAACAGCAGACAGCAGGUGUAUCUGCAGAUGAACAGUCUGAAGACUGAAGAUUCUGCUGUUUAUUAUUGUGCUCGAGAGCCACAGUGACUGGAGUUGGUUGAGCAGCUGUACAAAAACCUACAGUGCACUUCUUCUU